GGACCUGACUGCUAUCGGAUUGCUACUAAGCCAUGCGAGUCUUUGUAGUAAUACAAGGCAUACGGCUCAGUAACGCGUAGUCAACCUACCCUAUGGACAAGAAUAAUCUCGGGAAACUGAGCAUAAUUCUUGAUAGAUCAUAAUGCCUGGAAUGGUUUAUGGUUAAAAUGAUUCGUCGCCAUAGGAUGGGACUGCGGCCUAUCAGCUUGUUGGUGAGGUAAUGGCCCACCAAGGCGAUUACAGGUACGGGCUCUGAGAGGAGAAGCCCGGAGAUGGGUACUGAGACACGGACCCAGGCCCUAUGGGGCGCAGCAGGCGAGAAAACUUUGCAAUGUGCGAAAGCACGACAAGGUUAGUCCGAGUGAUUUCUGCUAAAGAGAUCUUUUGCUAGUUAUAAAACCACUAAUGAAUAAGGGGUGGGCAGGUUCUGGUGUCAGCC
rnacentral:rRNA from 1 species